ensembl:lncRNA
CUUUCAACAAGGGAACCAUGGCAACAACACAGCAUGUUAGCUGCCAGGUAUCGACCUCAGUAACUGGUGGUGCACCUUUAAAAGCUGCUGGAGCCCUGGCCCAGGAGCGGCCUACUGUAGAUCAAAGGAGCAGUCCAUCAAUAUCAUCUUGACUGUCAGCCCACAGAUGAAAAAGUCAUAUGGGUUUGGAACUGCAUGAGGUGCAGUGCUUCAGUCUGGUCAGUGUGAUCUACAGUAGAAGAGGUGAGUAAACUGCUAUAUUUUACAGUGUACAUUACUUUCUUUGACAGAACAAUUAUGGAGAUGAGAUUUUCAUCCAUGCGUUCCAAUUGCCUGACUGUGUUUUCAUAUUAACGGCAUAUUGAUCUCAGAUUGCUGGAGCAUGUUAUUUGGCUAGAUACAUAAUGGCCAUCAUGGCUCCAUUUCUAUUGCAAUGGUGUCAUCUGCCUUCUGAGAUUACAAGAUUGGAAUAUGAAGGUCUAUUAUUGCAGGAGUCUCUUGUAUAUGUACUAAUCGCACAAGCUCAUGUUGUACUUUUAGGUCCUGUUUCAUAUAAGGUCUGACAAGUUAUGUUUGACAGUAGAUGGGAGGAGAACAAUCAUUUACCAUAGAUGUGCAUUGUUGGUGAGUGCUACUUUUAAAAACAUGUUGCAUUAUUGAGUUACUCAUAAAAUGAUGUUUCUGUUUUAUCAUUAUACUUCUUUUUUUUUCUCUGCUGUUAAAGCAGUGCAAACAGCUUUGAUUAUAGUGGGAGUUUAGCAGUGUUUAUCAAGCUUUUCUUUUUUUUU